rnacentral:rRNA from 1 species
GCGGCGAAGGGAGAGUAAUGAGUGGAUUACCUACCCCCAGGACCGGGAUAGCUGUGGGAAACCGCAGGUAAUACCGGAUAAUAUCUCCGGAUCAAAUGGUGAGAUUCCGCCAGGGGAUGGGUCCGCUUCCUAUUAGCUUGUUGGUGGGGUAACGGCCUACCAAGGCAACAAUGGGUACCGGGUGUGAGAGCAUGGCCCGGCUCACUGGGACUGACACACUGCCCAGACACCUACGGGUGGCUGCAGUCGAGAAUCUUCCGCAAUGGGCGAAAGCCUGACGGAGCGACGCCGCGUGCGGGAUGAAGGCCUUCGGGUUGUAAACCGCUGUCAGUUGGGAGGAAAUCUAUGGGGGUUCUCCCCCAUAGUUGACCUAUCUUCAUAGGAAGGACGGGCUAAGUUCGUGCCAGCAGCCGCGGUAAGACGAACCGUCCAAACGUUAUUCGGAAUCACUGGGCUUAAAGGGUGCGUAUGCGGCUUGGCAAGUUGGGUGUGAAAUCCCUCGGCUCAACCGAGGAACUGCGCUCAAAACUGCCAAGCUAGAGGAAGAUAUAGGUGAGCGGAACUAAUGGUGGAGCGGUGAAAUGCGUUGAUAUCAUCAGGAACACCAGAGGCGAAGGCGGCUCACUGGGUCCUUUCUGACGCUGAGGGACGAAAGCUAGGGGAGCAAACGGGAUUAGAUACCCCGGUAGUCCUAGCUGUAAACGAUGAGCACUAGAUCGAGGGGACUUCCACAUCUUCUCGGUCGUAGCGAAAGUGUUAGUGCUCCGCCUGGGGGAGUAUGGUCGCAAGGGCUGAAACCU